GUGGGGAAUCUUGCGCAAUGGGCGAAAGCCUGACGCAGCCAUGCCGCGUGAAUGAUGAAGGUCUUAGGAUUGUAAAAUUCUUUCACCGGGGACGAUAAUGACGGUACCCGGAGAAGAAGCCCCGGCUAACUUCGUGCCAGCAGCCGCGGUAAUACGAAGGGGGCUAGCGUUGCUCGGAAUUACUGGGCGUAAAGGGCGCGUAGGCGGACAGCUUAGUCAGAGGUGAAAGCCCAGGGCUCAACCUUGGAAUUGCCUUUGAUACUGGCUGUCUUGAGUUUGGGAGAGGUGAGUGGAACUCCGAGUGUAGAGGUGAAAUUCGUAGAUAUUCGGAAGAACACCAGUGGCGAAGGCGACUCACUGGCCCAAUACUGACGCUGAGGCGCGAAAGCGUGGGGAGCAAACAGGAUUAGAAACCCGGGUAGUCC
rnacentral:rRNA from 1 species